rnacentral:lncRNA from 1 species
UGCUUCCCUUGGGGAUGCCCAGAACACAGCCUGGGAUGAUGAGGAGAGGCGGGAGAGCUUCCUAGGAGAUGGGCCCUGGAGCACCACCGUCCCUCCCCUAGGCCCAGGAUGUGAUUCUGAAUCUACAGUCAGACUGGACCACCUCUCCCCCAUGCCCCCAGAAUGUCCACAGGGGCUCCCUCGCCUACAAUAGAUGGAUUAGAUUCCUCCCUACUCUUCCCACACUGUCAGAGUCUGACUGGUGUGAAGUUCCGGUGUUUUUGUGUGUAUUUUACUACCAGGGUCGGCUAGAUAAGGAGGAGCUUUCAUUACAUCCUGGAAGUCUGUCCCCCGCACACACGCACAGCCGUCCUCCCUUCCCCCAACAUCUGAUCUAAUUCUCUCUCUGCUUUGCUGAGGCUGGCCUGGCCUAAGAGGAUUAGAGCAUUUGCUAAACGGGACCAGGACAGGCAGGGUCAGAGAACCCGCUGUGGGGAGACCCA